GGUCCUCCUGCUUCAGCCUCCUGAGCCGCUGGGAUUAAGGGUCUGUUGGAGCACUGCUUCAGCGAAGAACCCCCACCCACUGCUACGCACAACAGCCGGCUUGGCCAGGCCUGGCUGCCUGGAGCCCCAGCUCUUCAGAAGCUGAGGCCGGAGGGGUACCCGAGCCCAGGAGUUUGAGGACAGCCUGGGCAACACAGCGAAGGUCAGCGCACCCUAGAGCCCCCACCGCCUGUGGUCACCGGUGCUCAGCAUGCUGUCUGCCCUACAGGGUGACCAUCAGAAGCCUGUGACUCCUGGAGGCGUGGAGCUGUUUGGUCCCUGGCUGUCAUACAGUGAUAACUUAGUAAUCCUGGCUGGAGGACAGCAUAAACCCACAAGGAAACGACACCUCCUGAUGCUCCUAGUGUCCAUGGCGCUCCUCUGUUCUGCUCCCACUCCCCACAGUACCCUGGCUGGGCUUUGCCCCCAGGCACACCCUGACCAGUCACUGCCCCAAGGGCUUCCUGGGGGCCCACAACCCCUUACCCAGGUCCUGUCCUAGAUCUCCCGUGCUUCUGGCCAUGGUGGCCUUCCAGACUUCCCUAGUGGCCUGAAUAUAACCAGGCGUGACUUUCCCAUCAUGCAGUGGGAAAGACCCGAGAAUAAGCAUUUCCCCAGAUCCUCACCAGCCCAAGGCCACAGCUCCCAUCCUCCAACUCCACCGGCUUUUGAGGUCUCUUGUCUUUUCCCUCUUGAUUAUCCUCUGUUCAUCCUCCACAAAACUCCAGCUUUGACCCGAGGAUACUCCCUUCCCCAAGUCUUGAUUAUUCCACCUACAGCUCUCUGAUCCACGCAUGAACCAGAAUUCUCAGGGGAAAGAUGCUGAUUCCCAGAGAUGCCAAGAGAUCCUGAUUCUGCAGGAGCUGGGCGGCUGCAGCCUCGUCACCCUGCAGAGUCCAGUCCUCCCUGUGUUAAUUGCACACAACCAAGACAAACCUUGAGGCGGAGAGGAGGAGCUGCAGGUGGGAACCAUUCUUGUUUUCUAUAUCUUCAGUGAGACUCAUGCAGGAUUUUGAAAUGAAUCGUCACAAGAAAUUUGUCUUAAAGUUGAAUCACUAACAACAUCUAACAAUUGUUCACAUUUUUACCACAAAAACCAAAGUCAGAAAAAGAGACCACGAACACUAGCAAGGGCUAAAACUCCAGGACAGGAUAUCAUUGUGUGCGGGUUAACAUGGUAACUUGCUAUCACACAGCUGAAGGGUCACAGCAGAACGAGAGCAUGUGAAAUACAACAGGAAACGAGCUUUCAGACAUGCGCAGGACCGAGCCACCCACUGCCAAGCUUCCUCAUCAGGUCACAUUUACAAGCAAUUUAAUUAUAUGCAAAGAGAAGGCAGAAACAACUAGUUACAGACCUGUACGGAAACAAGUUAACCUAUAAACACAAGGUAAUAUUCUGAUAGUUCUCGAUGUGACUGGUCUGGGUUACAACAUACUUGAGUACUUGUUUUUCACACAUUAAAACACAUGAGAAAGUAGAUUUGGAUUACAUCUUUGUGGAUGCCUUGGGAUUCCCCAAAAUACAGUGUGGAAACUGUAUUUUGGGGCCCUUGCCCUCUCUCUUACACAUGCGCGCGCGCGCACACACGCGCACACACACACACACACACACACACACACUAUGGGACGGAGUGAUCUGUUCUGAUUUAGUGUGUCUAAUCCAGAUAGCAGAAACAGCUAAUUUUUAAAAGACUUUUUCCUUUCCCCCUCUUCUAUGUGAGAAGUGGCUUCUGCCUCAAAGUUGGUGAGUCUGGUGGCUCUGGAUGGAACUAGAGCCAAGAACCCAGGAAUGACCCAGUCUUCCCUACUAACCACCCCUCUUCUCCACAUGCUUCCUGAAAGGGCUUCAGCCCAAAACGGGAGUCAAAGUGCCAAUUUUAUAAACAGACUCUCAAACUUGACUACUUCAAUGGUGAGGCAGACAGUCACUCUUCCCAGAACUCUUGGGACUGAACCACCUUCCAGUUUGACAACUGGAGGAUGGAAGCUCAAGACUGAAGGAGCAAGAGGGCCAGGUGUGCAUCUAAGACCUGGGCUUAACUCACCCGCCGGUCACGGCCCAGGGAGGCUGGAGGGGAGAAAGCAGGUGCCCUGCUCUUCAAACACCAAGCCUGAAGGUUAGCUGACCAUCCAGAAGAGCAAGCAGGGGGUGGGGAGAAAGGCUGGACAUGAAUGAGCGAAACAGUAACCUGCCCAUGCAUAAAAGGUAAUGAACAUUCUAGAAUUUUCCCAAGCCACUUACCAACCCUCCUCCCUCUGAGGGUGAGUGAAGGAGGAGGUGAAAAGCUGGCCUGGUAGAGAAAAAGGCAGAGAGACACACCUCCCUCCCCCAAUUCCUCCCCAGACCUAAGAUCUCAUAUCAUUUACCUCCGAGAGCCAGACCUUUAGAAACUGGGUCCCUCAAAGAGCCAAGUCUCGUUUCACUCAA